ensembl:lncRNA
GGGACCGCGGGCGAGCGCGACUAGCCCGCCCCGGGCGCGGCCUCCGCCCUCCGCGCCUCCGACCCCGGGACUGCUGCAGCCCCAGGCCGGCCGAGGAGCCGGGGGGACGCCCCGCCCGCCCCGGCCCGGCCCCGCCGCACCUUCGCUCCUGCCCAGGAUCCGACAGCACCAGGUUUCUGCAGCAGGACGUUCGGCGACUUCUGGUCCGGCGUCGCACUCCUCGCCCGGGACGCCGCGGGCCCCUGCUCCGGGAGCCCGGCCCGAGCCCGCCCCGAGCCCGGCGCGCUCCGGAAGCCCCGCCGCCCGCGCCGGCUCGCGCCCCCGGGUCCCCGACAGGCUAAGGCCCGCGGGCAGCGCGGCAACGAGGACGCCAUUUUAGCGGAACCCGCCGAAACGCGGGCCCUCCCACAAUGCCCCGCUCCUUCCGGGCGCGCGGGCCGCGGGUGCGCCGGCUUAAAGGGUCCCCGCUCCCGGUCCUCACGUUCCCGAGCGCUGCGGCCCGGCCCGGAACGUUCCGGCCCGGGCGCCCGCCAGGGUCUGCAGGUGUCCUCGAGGGUCAGGCCGGCCGCCGACCUGCCGUGAGCGCCUUUCCAGUCCGUAAUUCUUUUUUAAAGUCACGUUCGGUGGAAGAAGUCUGUUUACACAGUAGGAGGGGUUUAUGGUGUUUGGGGGCUUUGAGCACUGACAGCGGCUGCACGCGGGGUUGGCCGUCCCCAGCCCGGGCCCAGCGCAGGCAGGCGGACCGUGAGGCCUGGAGAGGAAAACGUGAACUAGCCGGCAGUUACAAGGCGUUUUGAACGUUACUGUAGAAGCUUACACAGGAGUGGGUGCAGGGGUCACGGGCCCUGAGAACUGCCCGGUCCAGGGACAAAUGACCAGUCCGCACAUCAGCCGGGAGCUGUCCAGUUCACGUGGCGCCCCUGGUUUGGACCAAGCGUCCCAUGCCGGACCAACCCAAGUACCUCCCAGGGAAUUUGGGAUUAAGAUCAAAAGAACUUGUGUCUCCAGAUGGCCUGAACUAUAACAGAGAAAUCGGGCACCUUCUGACAGCCAAGUGAGCUGAGUAGGAGAAAAGCCCCACCCUCCUUCCCAGGGUCGGAGGGAAAGGCCGGGCAUUACAAAGUGGACCACCCGAGGCGUCCUGCUGGGACUCAGGAUGCUGGAGGUGCCUCACCCCAGGCCCGUCGAAGAAGGGCCAAGACCAUAACAGACCCCAUCUGCUUGACUCUGCAUUUCAGCACCUGUCUUCUUCUACCGUUAGAUUCUAGGAAAACCAUAGAGGUCACAAAACAAAGGCUAAAAGAGUCUCUGAGUGAGGUACCUGGAAGGUCGGGACUUGGCAUCAGGAACAGACGGCAGUUUCAGACAGCAGUGUGUCCAUAACUCUCCUGCUUCCCAGCCUCCUGCCGUGCUCACCUGGCUUCUGAGGCAACGGCCCCAGUCACAGUCCUGACAGCAGCACGGCAGAGGCAGAGAGAGGGAAAGAAAGCGGAGGACGCAGCACAGCUUAGGAGACAUUGUGCUAGUGUCCUUACAACCAUCUCCUGUCACUGGAACUUCCCUGAAUGUGCCUCUGUUCUUUCAAUCUAAAGAUGGAAAUAAAGUAACGAAAAUACAGUGUGGCUGGCAUGUAGCAGGACAUAGAGAAGGACUUGCCUAAGAAUUAGCAACUAGUACACAAAAGCCCCGUGCAGGAGGCGCUGGCCCUCGGCUUUGGCCCCAGAGCAGGCAGGCUGGAUUUGGGGCGAGAGAUGAAAGGCCGUGGCUCACCAGCUGAAGGGGGCUUGGUAGGAAAUGGACGGGUGGAACUCCAGCCACAUUUGCCCAAGCACAGCCCCAGGCUGGGGACCCACUUGGUACAAGGGGCAGACCUGCCAGGAUUUUAAUGUCGUGAGGAUUGGUUUUGUGUCACUUUGCUGGGCUGUGUGCCCAGAUGUGUGGUCAAACAUUAUUCCAGGUGUUUCUGUAAGGGUGCUUUGGAAGGAGAUUAACAUGUGAACAGCAGGCUUUGAGUAAAGCAGAUGACCCUCUAUAGUGUGGCGGGCCUCACCCAAUCAGUAGAAGGCCUGAAUAGAACAAAAGGUGACCUUCCCCGAGGAAGAGGGCUUUCUGCCAGUGGGCGGCCUUCAGACUCGAGCUGCAGCAUCGGCUCUUUCCUGGGCUCCAGCCCUAGCUUGUCCUGUAGACUUUGGACUUGCCAGCCCCACACUCAAUGUGAGCCAGUUCCUUAAAAUAACUCAAUCUCUUUCUCUCUAGAUAGAUGAUAGAUAGACAGACAGACAGACAGGCUGCUGCCUCUGUGUCUCUGGAGAGCCCUGACUUACACGUGGGGACAACCUGGGACAUUGAUGACCACCAAACUAAUGAAGAGUAGACUGCAGUACACUAAAAAAUGUUCCUCCACUAAAAAAGCGAAAGAAAAGUGAACGCAGAGCAGGAGGGACCAGAGAAAACAUAUGACGGUGGUGCGUUGGCACCAGAACAUCUCACCAGUCACGUUCAGCGUAAGUGCGGUUGGUCCCCGGAGGCGAGCACUGUCCAGCGACGUCCAGUCAAGGCUGCCGUCUGGGUGUGGACUGCGGUCCACUGCCCUCUGUGGGCCUUUGUCCAGCCGCCCCCUUCCUGGGUGUGGAGCAUCUACACCGCUUACUUAACGUUCUGCAGGGGAGGGUUGCCUCUUCUCCCCCAUCAAUUGUUUCUUCAGCAGUUUGCUAAUGUCAGCAGGCAUUGGUGGAUAUUGAUAUUCUGCUCCGGGUCAUAAUCCAACGCUACUGCACUUACUUUCCUGCUCGGAUUGACCCAGGCCUGGCCUGUGGGGGCUCUUUUAGCUGCCUCCUGUCUCUCUGACACUCCCUCAUCACCGUGAGUGCUGAAAAGAUAAGGACUAGACCUGACGGGGUUUUAGGACCCUUGUAGACUUACAGGAAAUGGAGUGGGCAGGACAGAAAGACCCGUCCACCCACCCACCCUGGCACCCCUAGCAACACCUUGCGUUGGGGGUGUGUCUGCUACAAGGAACGACCCAACACGGACACCUUAGUAUUAACUGGGGCCCGUACUUCACGCUAGUCCAGGGCUCCUGGCAGCCGGGAUGUUGCAGUAAGAUGGCGAAUCCUGCGGUCAGGCACCGCGGGAUUGCCUUUUCUGUGAAGGGGCUCCUUCGUCUGAGGGGGACUUGUGUGGGCACCACAUGGACAGCAUCCUUCAUCCCUGGUGCUCAGCUGCUCUCACAUGGGUAGGGCACUUCUGUCUCGCUUCUCCUUCAUACGGCUGGAUUUAAAACUCUUAUAUUCUAGCUUUCAGGUCCCGUGUGACACUGCAGGAAAAAUGCUUUCAAGCUGUGCUCAAUCAGGGGGUUUAGGAUGAAUGAGCUUUCAGUACCCAGCCCGGUCGUUAGAAAGAUCUUUAAUGACUGAUGGAUUAAAACCAGUGAACAAGCUUUCAAAUUACAAUUAAUUCAUAAAUUGAUAGUCACUUUCCUUCUUUGAGACCGUAAUGACUCACCGUUCUGACAUCGGGUCAACAGAAAGAAACUCCAAUUAGGCUUUGAAUACUCAUAUAGUUCAGGAAGAUGCCAUUUAGCUGUGGUAGGUGGGUGGAUAAAUUACUUCAGAAGUCAAGAAGCCUUGAGCCAUUGUCCUUUCUGUUAUCUUCUUUUGUGAGUAUGUAGUGUUUCUUCUCAUACUUUUUAAAAAUAGGAGUCGACUUUCGAAGGCUGACACUUGCCUCGAACUUACUAUAAAUGAGGCCAGGACUGAGUAUUGCUUUUGGCUCUCUCUCCAAUUUAGGGAGCAGAAGCCCCCAUCCCCUCUUUUUAAGCA